rnacentral:rRNA from 1 species
CCUACGGGAGGCAGCAGUGGGGAAUAUUGGACAAUGGGCGAAAGCCUGAUCCAGCCAUGCCGCGUGUGUGAAGAAGGCCUUCGGGUUGUAAAGCACUUUCAGUGGGGAAGAAAGCCUUGGGGCUAAUACCCUCGAGGAAGGACAUCACCCACAGAAGAAGCACCGGCUAACUCCGUGCCAGCAGCCGCGGUAAUACGGAGGGUGCGAGCGUUAAUCGGAAUUACUGGGCGUAAAGCGCGCGUAGGCGGUCUGAUAAGCCGGUUGUGAAAGCCCCGGGCUCAACCUGGGAACGGCAUCCCGAACUGUCAGGCUAGAGUGCAGGAGAGGAAGGUAGAAUUCCCGGUGUAGCGGUGAAAUGCGUAGAGAUCGGGAGGAAUACCAGUGGCGAAGGCGGCCUUCUGGACUGACACUGACGCUGAGGUGCGAAAGCGUGGGUAGCAAACAGGAUUAGAUACCCUGGUAGUC